AUCGUGAUAGGAGACUUCAACAUGAUCACGGAUCCUAGAGAUAAGAACAACGACCGAAUUUGCCGUCGUUGGAUGAACAAAUUCCAUCGCUCGCUGAAUAGAUCUAGUCUUCAUGAAUUGCCUCUGAUUGGAAGGAAAUUCACAUGGAGCAAUGAACAAGAUUCGCCUACCCUUGUGCGCCUUGACCGGGCCUUUGCGAAUGUUGAUUGGGAGCUCCUGUUCCCUGCUGCUAAGGUGCUCCCGCAGGCCUCCUCGGUUUCGGAUCACUGCCAUGAGAUUCUGAAAACCAACAGGAGGUUUCGCUUUGAAUCUUACUGGCUAUUCAUUGAUCGUUUCAAGGAGGUUGUCGCUCAAUCAUGGGCUGUUCCAGUCGGUGGUAGAUGCCCCAUUGCUGCCUUGAAUUUCAAGCUUUGGCAUCUAAGCAAAGCAUUGCGUGAAUGA
rnacentral:rRNA from 1 species